ACCAUUGUCGUCCAGUGGUUUAGGAUGCCAGGUUUUCAAACAUCUAACUUUGAUUCCCUGGAGACCGGGGUUCGAACCCCCGCAAUGGUA